rnacentral:misc_RNA from 1 species
AUUCUGAUUUAUAGCAGGAACAUGACUUAGCAUAUGCAUCAUUUGAGAUGUGUAUUUGAUGUGUUGAGGAAAGAGAAAUCAUAUGGUAAUUUGAAAAAAUGCUAAUUUUGCAUGGAAAAAGUUAUUUUCUUAAGUUAUGUGGUUAGUGGACAUCUUAUUGAAGUUGACGAGGAAAAGGUUAAAGCUAUUAGAGAUCGGCAAACUCCUAAAUCUGUGUCUGAUGUGCUUAGUUUUCAUGGAUUGGCUAGUUUUUAUAGAAGAUUUGUGAAAUAUUUGUGAAAUAGUUUAGUAACAUUGUUGCACCAAUGAAUAAGCUUGUUAAGAAAAAUGUUACAGGAAGAUGCAUUUCAGUUGAUUAAGGAUAAAUUGUGUUCUACUCCUAUGUUGUGUUUACCUAAUUUUUCUAGGAUUUUUUAGAUUAAAUAUGAUGCUUUUGGCAUAGUUAUUGGUGUUGUCUUAAUGCAGGAAAGGAGACCAAUUGCAUAUUUUAGUGAGAAGUUAAAUGGAGCUGCACUAAAUUAUUCUACAUAUGACAUGCAAUUAUACGCAUUGGUUCAUGUUUUGGAGAAGGAGCAUCAUUAUCUGUAUCCUAAACAAUUUGUCAUUCAUACUAACCACGAGUCAUUGAAGCAUCUGAAGGGACAGAACAAGUUGAACAGGCGGCAAGCCAAGUAGGUGUAGUUUAUUGAGACAUUGCCUCAUGUGAUUCAGUACAAGCAUGGAAAGGAAAAUGUGACAGCUGAUGCUUUGUCUAGAAGGUAUAACUUAUUAUCCUUGAUGCUAAGUUGUUUGGUUUUGAGUUUAUGAAAGAUUUGUGUGCUGAGGAUGUUCAUUUUGGUAUUGUGUUUGUUGCUUGUGAAAAGACUGCAUUUCAGAAGUUUUAUUAACAUGAUGAAUUUUUGUUCAAAGAAAAUAGAUUAUAUGUGCCUAAUUGUUUAUUUCGUGAAUAGCUUGUGAUUGAGUCACAUUCUGGUGGUUUAAUAGGACAUUUUGGUGUGGCCAAAACUUUAGACAUUUUGAGGGAACAUUUUUUUUUAGCCACAUAUGAGAAGGGAUGUGGAAACAGUGUGUGCUAAAUGUGUUGCAUGCAAAAAGGCUAAAUCUAUUGUUUUACCACACGGUUUGUAUACACCUUUACUCGUACCUAGUACACCUUGGACUGAUGUGUCUGUGGAUUUUAUUCUUGGUUUACCUAGGUCUAGAAAAGGUCACCACAGUUAUUUUUAGCUGUGGAUAAAUUUUCUAAGAUGGCACAUUCUAUUCCUUGCCAUAAGACUAAUAAUGCUGCA